rnacentral:tRNA from 1 species
GCCCGGGUGGCGAAACUGGUAAACGUUGCGGUCUCAGAAGCCGUUGGGAUUUCCCUUGUGAGUUCGAGUCUCACCCCGGGCA